GCAUGUGAACUCCUGUCGAGGCUUCAAGUCCCAGCCUUCCCCCAAGGCCCCCAGGCAAAGUCAGAGGUUAGUCACUCCCUCCCUGCCUCCUGCGCCCCGUCUCCAGCACUGGGGAGCACUCAGCACAUGAUGAGCAUCAGGCCCCGCUGCCCACCAGCAAGAGGCAGGGAACUCCUGGCCUUCCUUUCGCUCCAGCCCCACUCGUUGUGAGGUGACAUCAUAUCUGGUCGGCUGGCUGUUCUGUCUCAUAGACAUGUGUGUGUACACGCGUGCAGACGUGUGCCUGUGAGCAAGUAUGCAUGCACAUUUACCCGUCUUUCAUCAACACAGGCAGGAUUCUUGCAGAGGCUUUCCUACCUGCAUGCGGCCACACUCAAGAUUACUCAAAACAGCGUGGAGCUGGACGUCUAUACUCUGACACCGGAGGGCAGCUUGUCCCGUCCCAGGGCCUCCGUGCUACAUUCCGAAUGACAUGUCCACAUUUGCCACGGACAAGAAUGACAGAUGGAGAAAAAUCAUCUUUGACCCUUGAAAGUCGGUCAUGUUUUAUGAGGUAAGAGCGUUUGAGCCAGGAGGUAUUGUAGCAGAGGGCCCAGAGAUGGCUUGAAAUAGAGAAGGUUAUGGAUGUUUAGCUUCUGGAAAUAAAAACCCCCUUCCCAAAUGACUAGUUUAUCA
rnacentral:lncRNA from 12 species